GCCGGGGUGGCCGAGCGGACGAAGGCGCAGGCCUUGAGAGCCUGUGGGCCAUGCGGCCCUCGUGGGUUCAAAUCCCACCCCCGGCGCCA
rnacentral:tRNA from 1 species